GUUUAUAGAUUUUUCGCUCACACCAGAUGUCUAGACCCUGGACAGAUAACAGAAAUACACAUUGCCACUCAAUCUGUAUUCAUCUUGUGACGUCUCCUUGGAAGAAGGAGAGAGGGACCCUAGGGGUGGCGUUAAGGAGUUGAAAUCCUGUUAAGACAAUCAGACGGGAGGUUACAAGUGAAGGAAUCCGCUAGGAUUGGAAGUUGUCUCUUUAUGUUUCUUUUGAGAUGGUACGGCCUCUGAGGACCCCCAAGACCAACUGGACGAGGCUAUUAAAAAGGCAGAACACCUUGCUGAGGAGCUCAACCGAGAGAAGGACCCACAAGCCCAACUGGAUGAGGCUAUUAACGAGGCAAAAGGCUGGCUGAGGAGCUCAACCUAGAACGGGAAAAGAAGAAGAAGAAGACAAACAAGCCUCCAGGGAUUAGGUUCAGAUGGAGACAAAGGGAUGAGAGAGGACAGAUUGUUUCUCAAACCAGGAAGACAACUACAUCCACUUCUGUUGCUCCAAGGGCCAGUACAUCAAGAGUCAGACUAGUGCAACAUUUUGGGCCAGUCACUGAGGAGGAAGAAUCAGAGACGAGGACCAGUGGAUUGGAAUACACUCCAGUUUUAAACAUUGAUGAAGAAAUAGCAAUACUUCAACGAGAAAUUAACAUCCUCCCAGCUGACUUAGAAGAACCUGAGUGUGCAAAUCCUGCUGUGCCUGGUGCAUCACACAGUUGGAGUGUGAGGAACAGGAUAGGUGGAGGGAGUCCAGGCCUGAGAUUGUAGAUUCUCUGCUGGCUGCAGAGCAUGCUUCUCAGAAGAUCUGUCAGUCAUGCAAUGUGAAAAGGGCUAUUCUGCGAUGUAGAGGCUGUCUGCCGAAACAGCUUUACUGCGAAGACUGCGAUGUCUCUACACAUGCAAAGUUCCCCCUGCACAACAGACAGUCCAUGAUCGAGAGGUUCUACACGCCCCUUCAUCCAACUACAGCCAUAUCUCUCCACAGUGAUGGCCAAUAUGCACUUCAUGAACAGGGUGUGUUUUACAUUUUUUUGCGGCUGAAUGUAUUACAUCAAAGUUCAAAUGUAUUCUUGUUUAUUGUUGUAUAAAUAUAUUGUCCCUAGAUUGUUUCUUACCAUUGGACGUACCAUAGAUGAUAUGUGGUUGCCUGACAAGCACCAUCCAUGUUGGCCCUGGGAAACAUAUAAUCCUCAUAGGAAUAAAUGGUAUGUGCAAUAUCCACAAGAACUAAACAGUGAUGUAGCAAUGCAAUGUAAAACAACAUGAAUUCAGACUAAAAAAAAAUCCUCAAGGUCGCUACGAUGUCACAGUGCCUGUGCUGACCUGCACAACUUGUCUUAGCACCUGGACAGCAAACUUGGCAGAUCUGAUAAAGAAUGGGUACUGGCCUGCCACUGUCAACCAUGACACCAUAUACCAGGUAGAUGUGUUCAGCUCUUUUGAGGAGCUGAAAGUGUCAGCCCCAGGAAUGUCCCGUCUGGUGUUUAUGCAGAUUCUGGAGCAGCGAACUGACUUCUUUGGCAGGGUAACAAUCAAUUAUACUCAGCUUUACCAAUACCAAUGACUUCAGGUUAACAAUAUGUUAAAGUUAUGUUACACAAAGCGUUGUAACAAAAUGUAUUUCCUGUACUACAACUACGUUAAAACUUCAGGUCUCUUGCUAUAGUAUGUGUUAGCCUCCUGCACCACUGUCCUGCCAUGCCCCUUAUCUGUGCCCCUCUUGCAUCCAAUAUUUCCUGCUCUUUACAACAUAAAUACUCGUCCUACUUUUGCAUUGGCUUUCACCUGCUUUGCUGUCAACACUAUGCACUGGCCCUGCUUUAACUCAUAUCCAGUCAGCCAUAGUGAAUUAUAGUAUGUUUUGUUUAUACUAUUGUUGUAAGUUAUUUCAUAUAUUUCGCAUAUGUAUUUUUCCCUUACCAGAACGGAAUGAUCUGUGGGGACACUUUUCAAAAAAGCUUCUUUGAGUGGACGUACUGCCGCUCUGAAAUUGAUCAGGUCUGCGAUAUGUUCCCCCUGUUCCCCUGGCAUGUGUCAGUGGACGGGAACAAGAAGCUGUAUCGAUUCAAAUAUAGUCUAUGGACCGUCAGAUAUUGAGUAAAGGGAAUAUUCUGUACGGCUAUCGCUCUGUGGAUCCAAGAUCUCUCUCUCCUCUCUACUCGACUCCGCUACCAGCCACCAGCAUGACUUACACACUUCAUCGGUUUCUCUCUCUACUCUGCCACGGCUGCCAUCCAGAGGGAGGUACAGGACAGUCGGACAGGCUUACUGUGUGGAAGAAGGACAGCAGCACCUCCACUACCAGGUUCAAGAAUAGCUUUAAUCUGACUGCUGUUUUUAACACUUUAGCAUUUAUGACUGUAGUGUUAUUAUAAUCUUACCACUCUGCACUUUCAGUUGUUAUAUUUAUGAUAUUUAUUUAUAUUCUAUUUGUGACUGUUUUACUGUAUACCUGUAUGUGCUACUAUAUGAGCGAGAUCUCCAACGAAUAAUUCCAAUGUAUGAAUUACUGUUAAUACUUGCAAAUGGCAAAUAUCGUACUUGAUACAAUUUUAAUAAACCACUUGAAUAAACUUAAAAGAACUGUCAGGUAAUGUAUGUACCACAGGAAUAUAAUGGUAUAAUGUAUAAAAUGAUAGUGUAGGCAGCGAUAUUAUGAUUUAUGAGAAAAGGACACUGAGGACAUGGUUGAUAUGGGUAAUGGUAGAAGAAUUAGUCUGCUGGUUUGACGCUGAAAAUGUUUUGAUUUCAACUGGCAGUUGUAGUGUUGCCGGACGGGAGAAUAACGUCUGGGCUGUGUGAGGAGACGACAGUCAGCGGCAGGUGAAGCCGCUGAGCAGCUCUGCUAUCUGGGGUGAGGCUCGUUUUGGCUCGACGGACGAGCGUCUUUCACUUCCUUGUUUGAUCAGUGCAGAAUGCCAGGCAGUCUUGAAAUAAAUGUAAUUUAAAAAUGUUCUGCUCUUGGCAUAGCUGAUCAAAGCUGCUAUCGUGGCUGGUUAGGCAGAAUUCCAUGUGCCGCAGUGGCUGUGGUAUCUUCAGUCUUUAUUCUGUUAUGAAACUGACUGUCCUCUGCAUUCUCAGUGUCUCGGUUCUGACAAGAUUCUCGACUCGACAGUGCUCUAGUAGUCUACAGUCGUCUCUCAAUAUCUACAAUAACACUCAUUAGGUAGGCUGAGUGAACUGGGGUUCAAAAUGGACAGUCAAGUCAGUCACUAUAAAAUAAAUAUGUUUUAGAAAAUAGUAGACACUAUGUUAUCGAACCAGGACCAAGCAUACUACUACACUACAGGCGAAAUGUAGCCUUCACAUGCCAAGCUACCGCUGCCUCUCUACCACUGAAUAUCUGCAAGGCCAAGUUACUACUAUACUACUUUACCAGUUACAUUUACACGUCCAAGAACAAAGGUAAUUAACUACAUUCAUUUACGUUAUAUCUGUGAAAACGUAUUAGUGUGUAAUGUAAUGUUCUUAUAAGAAAAUAAAACAUAUUGCAUACAGCAGAACAUUUUCGGACAAGGGGGAGGAGUCACCAUCUUCCCGAAGAUGUUUCCUUUAUAACAACGUGUUUGCUGAGUGAAAAGUCAGAAGGAAGCUUCCAAGCAACAACAAAGUACACUGAAGCCAGAUUGAGGGUUUGAGAGCUGCCUUGAUUAUGAAGGGGAAAAGUGUAAUGACUGUUUUCCUACUUGCACUUGUUGCAAAAUCCUCCGUGUCUCUUCCUAUCACUAUAACAGUGAUUUUGAAUGACCCAGUUACACCCCCCUGCUCUGGAUCAUGCCAUGGUGGCAGAAAUAAGAAGGGAAGGAAAGAACCAUAGAAUAAAUGGAACAUUCUGCUGUCACUCUGUGGAUCCAAGACCAAGAAACCAUCUCUCCUCAGGAACAAACACUAGCAUGUCACGCUCUACUCUGUAGUCGCUUCCAGCCACUGCUGAGUUACUCUGCAGCCCAGCCCACUGAAUUCGUAGGAGGACGUCUACAUUCCACACGCCACAUUGCAUCAACCAAUGGCUGUGUGCCAUGUCAUUGACAAUAAUAAAGUACAUAUUUCAUGCAGAACGCUCCAUUCUCAGUCUUUCAAAUAAUAUGUUUAGAUAUUAAGGAGGCUGUUGGUCUGUAUGAUCAUAGCACUAUAAUAUAAGGGGCUCCUAGAAAUCCAUUGUGAGACUAAUAACUUCAUAGGGUUCUUCACUAUCACUAUCACUAUCUAUCACUAUCACUAUCUACAGACAGACAAACAGUGCAAUGUCUAACAGCGAGGUGCAGUGGAAACAACCUGGAGCUGAACACAAAGAAAUGAAAGGACGUCAUAGAGGAUUUCAGGAAGCUGGAGAUAAUCACUGUUGUGUGGAUAAAAGAUGAAAUACAACAGACAGUUUGUACCAUUUGUGUGUUACAAGUGUGAAAUAUAUUUUUAAAUGUUUGCCAUGAACAUGGUGUAAAAUCAUGUUUUAGGAAAUGUCCACAAUGCAACUAUUACAGCACUAGAAGGACAUAUGGUAGGCAAUAAUAUUUGUGUGUUACACGUGAAAUAACUUUUGAAACAGUUGUCCAUGAACAUGGUCUAAAAUGGUGUUUCCAGCAAUUUCCACACUCUAAUUAGUACUGUACAGAACUGUAAGGAGAGAUGAUUAGAGACACCAUUUGUGUUACAACUGUCAACAAUCUUUAUAAAACAUUUUCAUGAACUUGAUCUAAAAUCAUGUUUUUGACAAUCCCCACAAUACAAAUAGUAUGGUAGUAGAAAGAGAGACGAUAUGAGACACCAUUUGUUUUACAACAGUGAAUUAUAUUUUCUAAACAGUUUCCCAAAUCACUUUUUAGGCAAUUUACACAAUGCAACUAGUUAUCCUGGGUGUCAGUCUGUUUCUGAUCUCUUACCAACUAAUGGAACUGUCACGUCUUCAUAAUGAGAGCACAAACUGUUCUGGGAUCAGGCUAGUGUAGAGCUGCAUGGGAAUGUAAUGUAUAUGAAAGGGAUGUGUCAUGUUUCCCUCUUCCAUCACCAAGUUAAGUACAAUAAGAACUACAGAAUAGGAACUUUAUUGUUGCCUUUGAAAGAAAAGACAAAUUCAUAUAUUAUUUUUAAUGCAUUU